CACCGGUACUCGCGAAUGCUCUAGAUUAAGUUUGAUCAUGGCUCAGGACUGAACGCUGGCGGCCGAUGCCUAAUACAUGCAAGUCGAGCGAAUGGAUUGAGAGCUUGCUCUCAAGAAGUUAGCGGCGGACGGGUGAGUAACACGUGGGUAACCUGCCCAUAAGACUGGGAUAACUCCGGGAAACCGGGGCUAAUACCGGAUAAUAUUUUGAACUGCAUGGUUCGAAAUUGAAAGGCGGCUUCGGCUGUCACUUAUGGAUGGACCCGCGUCGCAUUAGCUAGUUGAUGAGGUAACGGCUCACCAAGGCAACGAUGCGUAGCCGACCUGAGAGGGUGAUCGGCCACACUGGGACUAGAGACACGGCCCAGACUACCUACGGGAGGCAGCAGUAGGGAAUCUUCCGCAAUGGACGAAAGUCUGACGGAGCAACGCCGCGUGAGUGAUGAAGGCUUUCGGGUCGUAAAACUCUGUUGUUAGGGAAGAACAAGUGCUAGUUGAAUAAGCUGGCACCUUGACGGUACCUAACCAGAAAGCCACGGCUAACUACGUUGCCAGCAGCCGCGGUAAUACGUAGGUNGCAAGCGUUAUCGGGAAUUAUUGGGCGUAAAGCCGCGCGCAGUGGUUUC
rnacentral:rRNA from 1 species